rnacentral:rRNA from 1 species
CCUGGUUGAUCUUGCCAGUAGUCAUAUGCUUGUCUCAAAGAUUAAGCCAUGCAAGUGAAAGUAUAUGCAUAUUUUAUAUGUAGAAACUGCGAACGGCUCAUUAAAACAGUUAUAAUCUACUUGACAUUUUUUCUAUAAGGAUAACUACGGAAAAGCUGUAGCUAAUACUUGCUUUAGCACUCUUGAUUCAUUUCUUGAGUGUGUACUUGUUAAGCCUUUUAAGAAAAAAGUUAUUAACUUAAGGAAUUAUAACAAAGAAGCGACACGUAAUGGAUCCGUCCAUUUUUAGUGUGUAUCAAUCGAGUUUCUGACCUAUCAGCUUUUGAUGUUAGGGUAUUGGCCUAACAUUGCUAUGACGGGUAACGGGGAAUUAGAGUUCGAUUCCGGAGAGGGAGCCUGAGAAAUAGCUACCACAUCUAAGGAAGGCAGCAGGCGCGUAAAUUACCCAAUUCUAAAGAAGAGAGGUAGUGACAAGAAAUAACAAUACAAGGCCAAUCUGGCUUUGUAAUUGGAAUGAUGGGAAUUUAAAACCUUCCCAAAACUCAAUUGGAGGGCAAGUCUGGUGCCAGCAGCCGCGGUAAUUCCAGCUCCAAUAGCGUAUAUUAAAAUUGUUGCAGUUAAAACGCUCGUAGUUGAAUUUCAAGGAAUCGAUAUUUUAAGCAACGCUUUUAGCUUAAUCCACAUAACUGAUACUUCGUAUCGACUUUGUGCGCAUUUUGCUAUUAUGUGUUCUUUUAAUUAAAAUGAUUCUUUUUAAGGAUUUUCUUUGCUUCGGCUUGGAAGUCCUUGUUACUUUGAGUAAAUUAGAGUGUUCAAAGCAAACAGAUAUAGCAUUGCGCGUUUGAAUACUACAGCAUGGAAUAACAAAAUUGAACAAGUCAGAAUUUUGUUCUUUUUUCUUAUUUUGGCUUAGUUACGAUUAAUAGGAGUAGCUUGGGGGCAUUUGUAUUCAGAUGUCAGAGGUGAAAUUCUUAGAUUUUCUGGAGACAAACAACUGCGAAAGCAUUUGUCUAAAAUACUUCCAUUAAUCAAGAACGAAAGUUAAGGGAGUGAAGACGAUCAGAUACCGUCGUAAUCUUAACCAUAAACUAUGCCGACUAGGCUUUGGAUGAAAGAUUUUAAAAUAAGAAUUUUCUCUUCGGAGUUUAUUCUUAGAUUGCUUCCUUCAGUGCCUUAUGAGAAAUCAAAGUCUUUUGGGUUCUGGGGCGAGUAUUCGCGCAAGCGAGAAAGUUAAAAGAAUUGACGGAAGGGCACCACCAGGCGUGGAGCUUGCGGCUUAAUUUGACUCAACACGGGAAAACUCACUAGUUUAAGACAAGAGUAGGAUUGACAGAUUAAUAGCUCUUUCUUGAUUUCUUGGAUGGUGAUGCAUGGCCGUUUUUAGUUCGUGAAUAUGAUUUGUCUGGUUAAUUCCGAUAACGAACGAGAUCUUAACCUGCUAAUUAGCGGCAAAUACGAUAUAUUCUUACGUGGGACUGAAUUCGGUUGAUUUGCUUACUUUGAAGAAAAUAUUGGGAUACGUAACAGUUUCCCUUUCCCUUUUCUACUUAGUUCGCUUUUCAUACUGUUUCUUUUUCGCGUAAGAAUGUAUUUGCUUGAUUGUAAAGCUUCUUAGAGGAACGAUGUGUGUCUAACACAAGGAAGUUUAAGGCAACAACAGGUCUGUGAUGUCCUUAGAUGAACUAGGCUGCACGCGUGCUACACUGAUAUGUAUAACGAGUUAUUAAAAUUACGAUUCAGCUUGCUGUUUCGUAUUUUUCCUCCACUGAAAAGUGUAGGUAAUCUUUAUCAGUACAUAUCGUGAUGGGGAUAGAUUAUUGCAAUUAUUAAUCUUGAACGAGGAAUGCCUAGUAAGCAUGAUUCAUUAGAUUGUGCUGACUACGUCCCUGCCCUUUGUACACACCGCCCGUCGCUCCUACCGAUUGAAAGAUAUGAUGAAUUGUUUGGACAAGAAGAAGGGGGAUUAUAUCUCCUUUUUUCUGGAAAAACCGUAAAUCCUAUCUUUUAAAGGAAGGAGAAGUCGUAACAAGGUUUCCGUAGGUGAACCUGCGGAAG